rnacentral:rRNA from 1 species
GGUCCAGACUCCUACGGGAGGCAGCAGUGGGGAAUAUUGCACAAUGGGGGGAACCCUGAUGCAGCGACGCCGCGUGAGUGAAGAAGUAUUUCGGUAUGUAAAGCUCUAUCAGCAGGGAAGAAAAUGACGGUACCUGACUAAGAAGCCCCGGCUAACUACGUGCCAGCAGCCGCGGUAAUACGUAGGGGGCAAGCGUUAUCCGGAUUUACUGGGUGUAAAGGGAGCGUAGACGGCAGUGCAAGUCCGGAGUGAAAGCCCGGGGCUCAACCCUGGGACUGCUCUGGAAACUGUAAAGCUGGAGUGCGGGAGGGGCAGGCGGAAUUCCUGGUGUAGCGGUGAAAUGCGUAGAUAUCAGGGGGAACACCGGCGGCGAAGGCGGCCUGCUGGACCGUAACUGACGUUGAGGCUCGAAAGCGUGGGGAGCAAACAGGAUUAGAUACCCUAGUA